UACAGAGGUGGCAAGCGUUGUUCGGAAUUACUGGGCGUAAAGGGCGCGUAGGUGGCCUUCUUAGUCAGACGUGAAAUCCCCAGGCUUAACCUGGGAACUGCGUCUGAUACUGGAAGGCUCGAGUUCGGGAGAGGAAUGUGGAAUUCCAGGUGUAGCGGUGAAAUGCGUAGAUAUCUGGAGGAACACCGGUGGCGAAGGCGGCAUCUGGACCGAAACUGACGCUGAGGCGCGAAAGCCAGGGGAGCAAGCGGG
rnacentral:rRNA from 1 species